rnacentral:tRNA from 1 species
UAAUUGAAGCCAAAAAGAGGC